CUGAAGUGGUACAGCUCCCUAGUGAUGCUCCCAAGGAGACUGAGGCCUGCCUGAGGCCACCUUGCUCCCUCUCAAAAGGUGAGAGUGACUUUCAGGCAUUCCUGCAGAAGACAUCACCUGGACAGUGUGUAAGUGAACAGCAUUAAUGCUUCCACUCUGGAGGUACCUGUGCCAGGCUUUCUUCUGGAAAGUUCCCCUGCUGAAGUGUCAGGAGAAAGGAGCCGUGCUGCGUGUUGUCAGACUUGCUAGAAUGAGAACCAAGAAUCCUUGGAACAGAUUUUUCCGGGAUAGCAGAUAUUAAGCAGUGGAGUCCCCAGCGCUUAUUUUUAUUCCAUUGCACCAUCUAGUGGGCACAAGCGCCCAGAUCCUGGAAUCGCUGUCAGAGCCACCUCCCUUUGCUGGUGAGUGCAUCCAGCAGAGCCCCUCUUGCGUGCCAGCGCCUGGAGGCAUUUAGAGAAGCGAGCAGAAGUUUAAAUAUUGUCUUUUCCACGAGAUAUUGGCUGUCAGGACAUGGUCUGAGGCAGCCAGCAGCUCCAUCGCACUCUGUGUUCACCAUUCCUCUGAAUGGGGCUCUGCAGGAGCUGGAACUGUAGAAAAACAUUUUCAUUAUGAGGGUAGCUGGGAUUCCUGAUGCAACAUGAUAAAUCAGAGAACUUUUGCUGAAGUGUAGGCACAU